GCCCGAGUGGCGGAAUGGCAGACGCGACGGACUCAAAAUCCGUUGUCCGAAAGGGCGUGUGGGUUCGACUCCCACCUCGGGCA
rnacentral:tRNA from 1 species